rnacentral:rRNA from 1 species
GACGGGGGAUGCGAGCGUUAUCCGGAAUGAUUGGGCGUAAAGGGUCCGCAGGUGGCCCGGUCAGUCCGCUGUCAAAGCCUGGGGCUCAACCCUGGAGAGGCGGCGGAGACCACCGGGCUUGAGUCCGGUAGGGGCAGAGGGAAUUCCCGGUGGAGCGGCGAAAUGCGUAGAGAUCAGGAAGAACAUCGGUGGCGAAGGCGCUCUGCUGGACCAUAACUGACACUCAGGGACGAAAGCUAGGGGAGCGAAUGGG